AUUGAACGCUGGCUGCAGGCCUAACACAUGCAAGUCGAGCGCGUGGCGCACGUGUGUGUAAUGUAUGGGGAUCUUCCCGAUAGAUGGGGAUAACUCCUGGAAACUGUGGCUAAUACCGCAUACUUGCCGUUGACCCCAUAUGGGAUUAGCUAGUAGGUGGGGUAAAGGCUCACCCAGGCGCCGAUCUCUAGCUGGUCUGAGAGGAUGAUCAGCCACACUGGGACUGAGACAAGGCCCAGAAUCCUACGGGAGGCAGCAGUGGGGAAUAUGGCACAAUGGGCGCAAGCCUGAGGCAGCCAUGCCGCGUGUAUGAAGAAGGCCUUAGGGUUGUAAAGUACUGUCAGCGGGGAGGCGUUACCCGCAGAAGAAGCACCGGCUAACUCCGUGCCAGCAGCCGCGGUAAUUC
rnacentral:rRNA from 1 species